AGGGGCGAGGGCUGGGAAGCCGAGUCAGAGCCGGGUGUACGUCCGCAAGCUGGGGAGGAGCGCUCCGCCCGCUACUGACAAAGGAUGGGAGGAUGCCUGCGCCGCGGGAUGCUCGUUGCGCUCCGCCGGGCUGCCGCCUGAGCGACUUCGCCCUCCGCCGGAAAUGUACCCAAGGAGAGUUCUGAGAACGUAUACUCAGUUGUCCUUCUGUGAUUAAACAAGACGCUGCUGUAUUUUCUUCCCACCUUGAUGAUAUUGAUGUUGUACAGGAGAAACAGGUGCCCAUCAUCAUCACAGAGCUAAACACGUAUCUGGCCCAAGAGAAGCUGAAGGAGGAUUCAGCGAAGGGUGGCAUGGUUGGUUGCAGGCUCAGACUGUGUGUUAUACCAAUAAACCAAGGUGAAAAGCUGCAGUGGGCAUGAUCUCCAGAGGCACCUGAUGACUCCACCUUGCCCUUCCCAAUCAAAAGCCAUAUGGCUGCUGCUUCACUUGUGCCCACAAGUCUCACAAAAAUGUCUCUGUGCCCCACACUAACGAAUCAUACAGGAUAGGGGAUUCUGAGAAAUGUUGUUUAUCCUAGCUCAGUUGAUACAUUACAGAGCCAUCAUGGUGCCAUGGGUCCAUUUGGAAGUCUGAUGAAGUUUAUACAUCCCCUUUCAGAAUUAUGUCUUUAAUAUUUUAAAUGUAUGAGAUGAAAUGCAGAAAAUUACCUAGAGAAUCACUUAUAUUAAAAUAGUUAUCAGAACAUGAGAAAUCAAAUUUGUGAUAUAGUAAUAAAUAGGCUUUGUAAAAUAUUUAAUAACAAGAUCCAGGCAAAUAUUUAAUGCUUAAUAACAAUAGUAAUUUUGAAGCCGUGGUGAGUGUAAAUCAUACUUUAUGAUAUUUGUAACAAAAUGUGAUAGGAAAACAGUUUCUAUGAUGAGAAGUUUAUAAAUAUUGUUGUUAUUUGUUGGCUAAAGUCAUACUUCAAGAAAAUGAUAAAUUUUCAGUUGGAGGUUAGUGAAAAUAUAUGACUUCUUUUUUCCUAAUCCACAUGUACAGAUCAUCUGAAUUUUAUUCAUGGACCCCAUCACUAGGAUCUGUAAAUCCUAGGAUAGAACCCCUCCUUUGGAAUCAAAAACUCUUUCGGUGAAAGAUCUUUACCAAUACUUACUUUUUAAGGUAAUAAGUUUAAAGAAACGUUUCUUAGGUCUAAAUGCCCUGC